rnacentral:misc_RNA from 1 species
GCCCCAAUCAUAGUUCUGAACUGAGCAUCUGAGUCUCAGCAGUGGUCGACGGUGAUAGUGGUGGUUGAAUUCAGCAUCCAUUGGUUAAAUAAAAAGAAUCAAGUGAAGAGAAAUGCAGAAAUGGGAAAAGGGUAGGCAAUGGCCAUCGAAAGAAGGCAAAAGGGUUAUAUGUAAUAGCUGGUCUAUGAAGAGUUUGAAACGGCAUGAAGAGAGAGGGAAACAAGUUGACGGAGAGAGACAGAAGCGCCGAAGAGAGACUUGAG